rnacentral:rRNA from 1 species
GACGAACGCUGGCGGCGUGCCUAAUACAUGCAAGUAGAACGCUGAAGAGAGGAGCUUGCUCUUCUUGGAUGAGUUGCGAACGGGUGAGUAACGCGUAGGUAACCUGCCUUGUAGCGGGGGAUAACUAUUGGAAACGAUAGCUAAUACCGCAUAACAAUGGAUGACCCAUGUCAUUUAUUUGAAAGGGGCAAAUGCUCCACUACAAGAUGGACCUGCGUUGUAUUAGCUAGUAGGUGAGGUAACGGCUCACCUAGGCGACGAUACAUAGCCGACCUGAGAGGGUGAUCGGCCACACUGGGACUGAGACACGGCCCAGACUCCUACGGGAGGCAGCAGUAGGGAAUCUUCGGCAAUGGGGGCAACCCUGACCGAGCAACGCCGCGUGAGUGAAGAAGGUUUUCGGAUCGCAAAGCUCUGUUGUAAGUCAAGAACGAGUGUGAGAGUGGAAAGUUCACACUGUGACGGUAGCUUACCAGAAAGGGACGGCUAACUACGUGCCAGCAGCCGCGGUAAUACGUAGGUCCCGAGCGUUGUCCGGAUUUAUUGGGCGUAAAGCGAGCGCAGGCGGUUUGAUAAGUCUGAAGUUAAGGCCGUGGCUCAACCAUAGUUCGCUUUGGAAACUGUCAAACUUGAGUGCAGAAGGGGAGAGUGGAAUUCCAUGUGUAGCGGUGAAAUGCGUAGAUAUAUGGAGGAACACCGGUGGCGAAAGCGGCUCUCUGGUCUGUAACUGACGCUGAGGCUCGAAAGCGUGGGGAGCGAACAGGAUUAGAUACCCUGGUAGUCCACGCCGUAAACGAUGAGUGCUAGGUGUUGGAUCCUUUCCGGGAUUCAGUGCCGCAGCUAACGCAUUAAGCACUCCGCCUGGGGAGUACGACCGCAAGGUUGAAACUCAAAGGAAUUGACGGGGGCCCGCACAAGCGGUGGAGCAUGUGGUUUAAUUCGAAGCAACGCGAAGAACCUUACCAGGUCUUGACAUCCCGAUGCUAUUUCUAGAGAUAGAAAGUUACUUCGGUACAUCGGUGACAGGUGGUGCAUGGUUGUCGUCAGCUCGUGUCGUGAGAUGUUGGGUUAAGUCCCGCAACGAGCGCAACCCCUAUUGUUAGUUGCCAUCAUUCAGUUGGGCACUCUAGCGAGACUGCCGGUAAUAAACCGGAGGAAGGUGGGGAUGACGUCAAAUCAUCAUGCCCCUUAUGACCUGGGCUACACACGUGCUACAAUGGUUGGUACAACGAGUUGCGAGUCGGUGACGGCAAGCUAAUCUCUUAAAGCCAAUCUCAGUUCGGAUUGUAGGCUGCAACUCGCCUACAUGAAGUCGGAAUCGCUAGUAAUCGCGGAUCAGCACGCCGCGGUGAAUACGUUCCCGGGCCU